CACGUAGUUAGCCGGAGCUUCCUCCUCUGCUACCGUCAUUAUCUUCACAGAGGACAGAGGUUUACAAUCCGAAAACCGUCUUCCCUCACGCGGCGUUGCUGGUUCAGGGUUUCCCCCAUUGACCAAUAUCCCUCACUGCUGCCUCCCGUAGGAGUCUGGGCCGUGUCUCAGUCCCAAUGUGGCCGUUCAACCUCUCAGUCCGGCUACCGAUCGUCGGCUUGGUGGGCCGUUGCCCCGCCAACUACCUAAUCGGACGCGAGCCCAUCUUUCAGCGGAUUGCUCCUUUGAUUAUCAAGCCAUGCAGCUCAAUAAUAUCAUGCGGUAUUAGCGUUCGUUUCCAAACGUUAUCCCCCUCUGAAAGGCAGGUUGCUCACGCGUUACUCACCCGUCCGCCACUAAGAUAUCCAAGAAUCAUUACCGAAGUACUUCAUCAGCGGAUAUCUCCGUUCGACUUGCAUGUGUUAGGCACGCCGCCAGCGUUCGUCCUGAGCCAGGAUCAAA
rnacentral:rRNA from 1 species